rnacentral:rRNA from 1 species
AUUGAACGCUGGCGGCAUGCCUUACACUUGCAAGUCGAACGGCAGCACGGGAGCAAUCCUGGUGGCGAGUGGCGAACGGGUGAGUAAUGUAUCGGAACGUACCUUUCAGUGGGGGAUAACGUAGCGAAAGUUACGCUAAUACCGCAUAUUCUGUGAGCAGGAAAGCAGGGGAUCGCAAGACCUUGCGCUGAUUGAGCGGCCGAUAUCAGAUUAGCUAGUUGGUGAGGUAAAGGCUCACCAAGGCGACGAUCUGUAGCGGGUCUGAGAGGAUGAUCCGCCACACUGGAACUGAGACACGGUCCAGACUCCUACGGGAGGCAGCAGUGGGGAAUUUUGGACAAUGGGCGCAAGCCUGAUCCAGCCAUGCCGCGUGAGUGAAGAAGGCCUCGG